GUAGUCAUAUGCUUGUCUCAAAGAUUAAGCCAUGCAUGUCUAAGUAUAAGCAAUUAUACCGCGAAACUGCGAAUGGCUCAUUAAAUCAGUUAUCGUUUAUUUGAUAGUACCUUACUACUUGGAUAACCGUGGUAAUUCUAGAGCUAAUACAUGCUAAAAACCCCGACUCACGAAGGGGUGUAUUUAUUAGAUUAAAAACCAAUGCCCUCCGGGGCUUUCUGGUGAUUCAUAAUAACUUCUCGAAUCGCAUGGCCUUGCGCCGGCGAUGGUUCAUUCAAAUUUCUGCCCUAUCAACUUUCGAUGGCAGGGUCUUGGCCUGCCAUGGUUACAACGGGUAACGGAGGAUUAGGGUUCGAUUCCGGAGAGGGAGCCUGAGAAACGGCUACCACAUCCAAGGAAGGCAGCAGGCGCGCAAAUUACCCAAUCCCGAUACGGGGAGGUAGUGACAAUAAAUACUGAUACGGGGCUCUUUUGGGUCUCGUAAUUGGAAUGAGAACAAUUUAAAUCCCUUAACGAGGAACAAUUGGAGGGCAAGUCUGGUGCCAGCAGCC
rnacentral:rRNA from 1 species